UAUUAGAUUGGUGCAAAAGUAAUUGCAGUUUUUGCCAUUGAAAGUAAGGGCAAAAAUUGCAAUUACUUUUGCACCAAACUAAUAUAA
ensembl:miRNA